rnacentral:rRNA from 1 species
GACGAACGCUGGCGGCGUGCCUAAUACAUGCAAGUCGAGCGCAGGAAGCCGUCUGAACCCUUCGGGGGGACGACGGUGGAAUGAGCGGCGGACGGGUGAGUAACACGUAAAGAACCUGCCCAUAGGUCUGGGAUAACCACGAGAAAUCGGGGCUAAUACCGGAUGUGUCAUCGGACCGCAUGGUCCGCUGAUGAAAGGCGCUUCGGCGUCGCCCAUGGAUGGCUUUGCGGUGCAUUAGCUAGUUGGUGGGGUAACGGCCCACCAAGGCGACGAUGCAUAGCCGACCUGAGGGGGUGAUCGGCCACACUGGGACUGAGACACGGCCCAGACUCCUACGGGAGGCAGCAGUAGGGAAUCUUCCACAAUGGACGAAAGUCUGAUGGAGCAACGCCGCGUGAACGAUGAAGGCCUUCGGGUCGUAAAGUUCUGUUGUAAGGGAAGAACAAGUGCCGCAGGCAAUGGCGGCACCUUGACGGUACCUUGCGAGAAAGCCACGGCUAACUACGUGCCAGCCGCCGCCGUAA